CUACUAUAUGUAUACUAUAUACAUACAUGUUAUGCGUCAAGUUUACCAAUAGAGUAUUCUUUGCAGGACAUGAGAAAUGUUGGUGCCUGUAUUUUUAAUGUGCUUAAUAUAGAGUCAAAAUCCUGGUCAUUUCUGUAGCGAUAAUGAAUGAUCGAAUAGAAAAGUUGCGAUUUAUGCAUACAUAUUCUCAAGAUAAAUAUAAUAUAAAAACACGAACAACAGGGUUGAGCAAAAAACAACGUAGGUUGGUAAUAGAAAGUGAAUAUCUCCUCCAGACUGUCACGAAAGAGGUCAUUAGUGGAUGAAAGGGAGGGUUUUGGAUUAUAAAAAGCAUUACUAAUAUUAAAGGAAAUAAAAUAAAAUAAAAUGAAAUAAUGAGUGCUAUACUAAAUACUUGACAAACUUUUUCACACAUUUCCUUUUGUGUGUGUGUGUGUGUGUGUGUGUGUAUGUGUGUGUAUUGUUUUUGAUAUAACUAUAUUUGGAUAUAUCUUUGGAUAAGAUGAAAUAAUAUUUCAUUAAUUUGCAGAUUUUAUUGAUAGGAAAUGUAUCAUUAUUCAUAUUUAUGAUCAAAGUAUUAUUGUAUGAAAAAGGAGCAGUGUCAUUAAACGAAAUAAAUAUUUUUAAAGCGCAAAUAAAGAAUAACAUGCAGGAAUGUGGAUACUUAUAAGUUAUAUGAAUGGUUGGGAGGAAAUUAAAAUGAAUCCUUUAAGUGAUGCAGAUUUAUAUAAGUAUAAUAGCGAUAGUUCUCACUGUUGGUGCAGUGCUGCACUCCAGCUGUGAACAAAGUGUUAAGUACACCCUUUUCAAAGGUAUACAGAAGUGAAAAAGCACAAAAAGAUAGCUAUGUACAAUUCACAUUUGUUCGUGAUAUUGGUUUAUCUCAUAGUACUUCAUGAUGUAUGAUUAUUAAAAAUGAUUUUAAGAGAAUUUCAUUUCAGUAUCGCAAAGAGAAAUUAAUUGUUUACUUUAUACCCAUAAAAAAUGGGAACCUAUGUCUACCUUGUAAACAUGUACCCCAAGAAAUCUCCAAAUCAUUUCCUCGAGUUUUUUUAACAUAAACUAUAUACUUUUUAAUUUGGAGCAAGAGGAAAUAAAAGUUGUUGCUCACCUUUAUUAGAAACGAAAUUGUGAUGAAUAUUGAAAAGAUAAACAUGCCACCAAGACCAUACAAAUGUAAGGUACGCCUUCCUGUCCUAUCCAUAAGUGGGAUCGAAACUAGCGUCAUACCAACCAUAAUGGCACCUAUGCCUAUGGUUGCAAAUUUAGCACUUUCCUCUGUUAAACCUGAACUGGUGAACAAACUCGUGGAAUAGUAAAAUACCUGAAAUAUCAUUCGAUUGUACCUUCUAUUAUCGAUAUACAAUUAAAAUUGCAUUACGUUUAUAGGUUGACAUCUACUCACGGCAUUAAUACCAGAUAGCUGUUGCGAGAGUUGCAUGACCACACCAAUUACAAGAGGUGCUCUUAACGUUGGACUACAUAUAAGCUCUGUCAUAGAGAUCGUGGAUUCAGCUUGUUGAGCUCUUUCCUCUGCUCUCAUCUCUUCGAUAUCUUCCUCUACCUGAUUGCUAGCUCUUAAUCUUCUUAAAGCUUUCCGUGCUUCUUCCUCCCAUUGUUUAGUAAUAAGUAAGUAUCUAAAAAUAGAUCGUUUUGAAAAUGUACGCGAUAAGGAUAUCUAAUAUAACUUUUAAUAUUUGUUACAAUAUAUAAUAAGUAUCAUACCUCGGAGAUUCGGGACAUAUUGGAAGCAAUAAUAGUUGUAGAAUGGCAGGACAGAUAGCUAAUCCUAAGAGAACAGGCCAACCCUCGUUUGUCCCAAGGAUUUGCUCGAUGCCCAGCACCUGGGAGACCAGGAGGCCCACCGUAACAGCGAGCUGGUUCACCGUGCCUAGGCCACCUCUUAGGUUCAGUGGUGCUAUCUCCGAUAUGUACAUGGGAACCAAUGAGGUAUUUAAGCCACAAUUAACACCGAUGAUGAACCGUCCAAAGAACAACAUUUCGUAAGAGUGAGCAAUCUUUGUACAACCCAUCAGGCAUGCCCCCACGAUGCCCAGCACGUUGUUUAGCAGUAAGCCCCCCUUUCUGUGGUCGUGGGAUAUAAGAAGAAGAAGACAAAGAAAAGAUUCGUCAUCGCCAUGCGACGCACCGCCAGCUUACUCACCCCUGCCGCCCGCGUCCACAAGCGAGCUUGCAAUUUGAAUGGACCAUCACUUUUAUGCGGAACGAACAGUUGGCAAAAUAAUUCACAAAAAGUCAGCAUGAUGUCGAUGAGCGACGAGAGAGAAAGAAAAAGAGAAAGAGAGAGAGAGAGAAAGAGAGACAUUAGAGUCGAGUACUCGAACAAGUGUUAAAACCGAUAGAUCAUUCAUAUAUCGUACUUGUUCGUCUACUUGACUUGGAGUACAUGAUCGAAUGGAAUGGAGCAAUCAGUGGUAAGCCUGCGAGCGCCGCAGCCAAAGAAUUCAAGUAACCAUAACACAACGUAUUGCCAGUGUUCGAAAUAUUAUCAUGUUUUAUGAACUAAGGGCGUGUAAAUAUGUACAAGGAUGGAUCUAGAGCGAAUGUGAAUCAUGUAUAAAUGAUGAAAUGGCAUGGCAAAAAGCCUCACAUUCUCGGAAAGUACAUAAAAGAAUCUUAUGGAUAAAAUGAUAAAUGAAACAAUCGAGGGCACCGCCACUUAAGCCAGAAUUACCUGGAUGCAUUUUUAAAUACCGUUGGAAAUAGUUACUUGAAAAAAGAAGAGAAACACUUAUCUACGAAGUAAUAAGAAGUUCGAAACAUUCUUAUCUAUGAUGAAGUUUGCGAUCAGUAAAAACUAUCGAUUCGAGCACUUUCGAGCACUUUAGAAUGGUCAAAAGAGAAAGAAAGAGAUAGAUAGAUAGAUAGAUAGAGAAAGAGAAAGAGAAAGAGAGAGAGAGAGAGAGAGAGAGAGAGAGAGAGCGCGCAAAGUAUCCUCUUAAUUGAUAUGCAAGCUUCAAGAGCUCUACCGACGAGCUAUCGCGGUGCUAAACUAAAUUACUUUUCAAGGUUCAAGGAUGCUUGUAAAUAUUAAAAUAUAUCUACUCGAAAGUAUACUUGGUACAUUUUCAGACGGACUAAGAUGUUUUCUACGCUUCGUUCAUUCAGAGAAAAAAAAGAAAGAAAAUAUAUAAUUUUAUUUUGUCUGUUGAUCUACGUUGGAGUCUAUGUAACUACUGUUCUGUACAAUUUCUUGAAAAGCAAAAGCGCUGUAUGUACUAUGUAAUAAAUAUGUUCAGAACUAUAAAACUGGAUUAGCCCAAAUCAUCGUCGGUAGAAAUUUAUAAAUUUUUAACGAAUUGCGUCUAAUUUGUAAUUAUUCGUACAUAUUUUGCGGUGUAAGAAAGCGAUCGUUGUAAAAGAUAACGCGAUAUUAUAAUAGAUUCAAAAUAAAAUAAAGUCAUCGUCAUUUGUUUUUUCAGGUG